UAUAGUUUAGUGGCGGACGGGUGAGUAACACGUGAGCAACCUGCCUUCGAGAGGGGAAUAACGGCUGGAAACGGUCGCUAAUACCGCAUAACGUACGGAUGGGACAUCCUGUCUGUACCAAAGAUUUAUCGCUCGAAGAUGGGCUCGCGUCCGAUUAGGUAGUUGGUGAGGUAACGGCCCACCAAGCCGACGAUCGGUAGCCGGACUGAGAGGUUGAACGGCCACAUUGGGACUGAGACACGGCCCAAACUCCUACGGAAGGCAGCAG
rnacentral:rRNA from 1 species